rnacentral:rRNA from 1 species
CCUACGGGUGGCAGCAGUAGGGAAUCUUUCACAAUGGGCGAAAGCCUGAUGGAGCAACGCCGCGUGCAGGAUGAAGGCCUUCGGGUUGUAAACUGCUUUUAUAAGCGAGAAAUAUGAUGGUAACUUAUGAAUAAGGAUCGGCUAACUACGUGCCAGCAGCCGCGGUCAUACGUAGGAUCCGAGCAUUAUCCGGAGUGACUGGGUGUAGAGAGUUGCGUAGGUGGCAGAAUAAGUAGCUAGUGAAAUCUGGUGGCUCAACCAUUCAGACUAUUAGCUAAACUGUUAAGCUCGAGACCGUGAGGGGUAACUGGAAUUUCUAGUGUAGGAGUGAAAUCCGUAGAUAUUAGAAGGAACACCAGUAGCGUAGGCAGGUUGCUGGGACGGUUCUGACACUAAGGCACGAAAGCGUAGGGAGCAAACGGGAUUAGAUACCCUGGUAGUC